GACGAACGCUGGCGGCGUGCUUAACACAUGCAAGUCGAACGAUGAACCGGGUGCUUGCACUCGGGGAUUAGUGGCGAACGGGUGAGUAACACGUGAGCAACCUGCCCCUGACUCUGGGAUAAGCGCUGGAAACGGCGUCUAAUACUGGAUAUGUCCCGUCACCGCAUGGUGUGCGGGUGGAAAGAUUUUUCGGUUGGGGAUGGGCUCGCGGCCUAUCAGCUUGUUGGUGAGGUAAUGGCUCACCAAGGCGUCGACGGGUAGCCGGCCUGAGAGGGUGACCGGACACACUGGGACUGGGACACGGCCCAGACUCCUACGGGAGGCAGCAGUGGGGAAUAUUGCACAAUGGGCGGAAGCCUGAUGCAGCAACGCCGCGUGAGGGAUGACGGCCUUCGGGUUGUAAACCUCUUUUAGCAGGGAAGAAGCGAGAGUGACGGUACCUGCAGAAAAAGCACCGGCUAACUACGUGCCAGCCGCCGCCGUAA
rnacentral:rRNA from 1 species